GCUUGCUUGAAUGUACAUAUACCAGAGUAUAAAGUGAUACAGAGAUUAGCGUGGGCCCUGCACAAGAAUGACAUGCAAAUUCAUGAAGCAUUCCAUAUGUUU